rnacentral:rRNA from 1 species
AAUGGGGGAUAACGUAGCGAAAGUUACGCUAAUACCGCAUAUGCCCUGAGGGGGAAAGUGGGGGAUCGCAAGACCUCACGUUUUCGGAGCGGCCGAUAUCAGAUUAGCUAGUUGGCGGGGUAAAGGCCCACCAAGGCGACGAUCUGUAGCUGGUCUGAGAGGACGACCAGCCACACUGGGACUGAGACACGGCCCAGACUCCUACGGGAGGCAGCAGUGGGGAAUUUUGGACAAUGGGGGCAACCCUGAUCCAGCCAUGCCGCGUGAGUGAAGAAGGCCUUCGGGUUGUAAAGCUCUUUCGGACAGAAAGAAAUCGCACGGGCCAAUACCCCGUGUGGAUGACGGUACUGUAAGAAGAAGCACCGGCUAACUACGUGCCAGCAGCCGCGGUAAUACGUAGGGUGCGAGCGUUAAUCGGAAUUACUGGGCGUAAAGCGUGCGCAGGCGGUUUAUUAAGACAGAUGUGAAAUCCCCGGGCUUAACCUGGGAACUGCAUUUGUGACUGGUAGGCUAGAGUGUAGCAGAGGGGGGUAGAAUUCCA